UUAGCAAGGAAGAAGCGAAAGUGACGGUACUUGCAGAAAAAGCGCCGGCUAAUUACGUGCCAGCAGCCGCGGUAAUACGUAGGGCGCAAGCGUUAUCCGGAAUUAUUGGGCGUAAAGAGCUCGUAGGCGGUUUGUCGCGUCUGCUGUGAAAUCCCGAGGCUCAACCUCGGGCCUGCAGUGGGUACGGGCAGACUAGAGUGCGGUAGGGGAGAUUGGAAUUCCUGGUGUAGCGGUGGAAUGCGCAGAUAUCAGGAGGAACACCGAUGGCGAAGGCAGAUCUCUGGGCCGUAACUGACGCUGAGGAGCGAAAGGGUGGGGAGCAAACAGGCUUAGAUACCCUGGUAGUCCACCCCGUAAACGUUGGGAACUAGUUGUGGGGUCCUUUCCACGGAUUCCGUGACGCAGCUAACGCAUUAAGUUCCCCGCCUGGGGAGUACGGCCGCAAGGCUAAAACUCAAAGGAAUUGACGGGGACCCGCACAAGCGGCGGAGCAUGCGGAUUAAUUCGAUGCAACGCGAAGAACCUUACCAAGGCUUGACAUACACGAGAACACCCUAGAAAUAGGGGACUCUUUGGACACUCGUGAACAGGUGGUGCAUGGUUGUCGUCAGCUCGUGUCGUGAGAUGUUGGGUUAAGUCCCGCAACGAGCGCAACCCUCGUUCUAUGUUGCCAGCACGUAAUGGUGGGAACUCAUGGGAUACUGCCGGGGUCAACUCGGAGGAAGGUGGGGAUGACGUCAAAUCAUCAUGCCCCUUAUGUCUUGGGCUUCACGCAUGCUACAAUGGCCGGUACAAAGGGCUGCAAUACCGUGAGGUGGAGCGAAUCCCAAAAAGCCGGUCCCAGUUCGGAUUGAGGUCUGCAACUCGACCUCAUGAAGUCGGAGUCGCUAGUAAUCGCAGAUCAGCAACGCUGCGGUGAAUACGUUCCCGGGUCUUGUACACACCGCCCGUCAAGUCAUGAAAGUCGGUAACACCUGAAGCCGGU
rnacentral:rRNA from 1 species